GAAAAGCAUUGCCUAACAAGGUAGAUUUCCACUUUUUCCUACGUCUAUGCAAACCACGGCGGUCCUCCUGAUCGGAAAAGCCCUUUGAUCGAGAUAGCCGAGCGAGACUUACUCCGCAGCCGCGUUGAACUCGGAAGUGCAAGAAGCCUGGCGUUGCAAAGUCGCAAAGAAAGCCAAGCGGCGGCAGAAAAGCUUUGCGGUAAAAAUGAUUUCUGCAAAGCAGCUGGCUGACCUUGGCUACAAAACAUUUUCGAGCUCCAUGAUGCUUCUUACUCUAUAUGGUGGCUACCUCCUGAGUAAUGGUGUAUAUCAAGCAUAUCAGAGAAAUAAGCGACUGAAGGAACAAGGGAUAAGUGCUGAUGAUGCUAAGCAAUGAAAACAUCUCAUAUGGAAUGGAAGACUGGUGUGCUUUAUCAGAAACCUCUGGGAUUUUCUGCCGUGAAGAAUGGGAAUUUCAAAUUGUGUUGAAAAAGUGGAAGUAUCUGUUUGAUUCUAGUCAUUUGAUUCUUCGCUCAGUUACUCUCAAUCCUACAGUAGAAAUUGUUAAGCAACCACAUUAAAGAUUUAUUUACAGAUAAUUUA